rnacentral:tRNA from 1 species
GCGAGGGUGGCGGAACCGGCAGACGCGCAUGCUUGAGGGGCAUGUGGAAGAAAUUCCGUGGGGGUUCAAAUCCCCCCCUUCGCACCA